rnacentral:tRNA from 4 species
GUGGAUGUAGCUCAGUUGGUUAGAGCAUCAGGUUGUGGCUCUGAGGGUCGUGGGUUCGAGCCCCAUCAUCCACCCCA